UUUGAGAAGGUGGUGAAACGGACAGAUCUUGGUGUGUGCUGGUUUUCAAGUCUUUGGUUACCUGUGGCAUCACUUUCAAUAUAACCAUACAUUUGACAUGCCUGUAUUGUUGUCUUUGUGUAUUUCAGAAUCUUCCCUGAUGAGUCCUGUCUCUGCCAGUUCUGUGAUGUGUGGUUCAGACCAUGAGUCGGUUGAUACAAUCAUUUUGAGUGAGGAUGGAAGCCCCUCACGGAAGUAUCAAAGAUCUGAUGACGAAGCAAAAAAUCUAAUAGAGAGCAUACUGAAGAAAAAGCCAGCUGGAGAGGUUGUCAUCAAGGGAUACUCCAAAACUAAAAGCCAGGUGGAGAGGUUGUCAUCAAGGAAUAAUCCAAAACUAAAAGCCAGGUGGAGAGGUUGUCAUCAAGGGAUACUCCAAAACUAAAAGCCAGGUGGAGAGGUUGUCAUCAAGGGAUACUCCAAAACUAAAAGCCAGGUGGAGAGGUUGUCAUCAAGGGAUACUCCAAAACUAAAAGCCAGGUGGAGAGGUUGUCAUCAAGGGAUACUCCAAAACUAAAAGCCAGGUGGAGAGGUUGUCAUCAAGGGAUACUCCAAAACUAAAAGCCAGGUGGAGAGGUUGUCAUCAAGGGAUACUCCAAAACUAAAAGCCAGGUGGAGAGGUUGUCAUCAAGGGAUAAUCCAAAACUAAAAGCCAGGUGGAGAGGUUGUCAUCAAGGGAUACUCCAAAACUAAAAGCCAGGUGGAGAGGUUGUCAUCAAGGGAUACUCCAAAACUAAAAGCCAGGUGGAGAGGUUGUCAUCAAGGGAUAAUCCAAAACUAAAAGCCAGGUGGAGAGGUUGUCAUCAAGGGAUACUCCAAAACUAAAAGCCAGGUGGAGAGGUUGUCAUCAAGGGAUAAUCCAAAACUAAAAGCCUGACUGACUGCACCAGACGAAAGAUGAUCAACAUUCUUGUUUCGGCGAUGACAGAGACUCAUGCGUAAGUUUAAAGGAAAGAUUCAUAAUGAAAAUGGUUGAGCAUUACUUGCUCCCAUAUCUGCUGAAUGUUAAAAAUGACUUCUGUAUCAGUAUCUCAGUCACAUAAUUGGUUAGGCUACUGCUGACCAUCCACUGCUAUUGGUAGAAGACUUCUCUUGUAUCAAAUUCAAUGGGCAUGAUACUGAUUCAAAAAUCACUCCUGAUAUUUAGCUGACUGGUGACCAACGCUGCUUAUGGAGAUUCUGAUUGCCGCCUAAACAUAACAUUAUAUUCUUGUCAGGACAUCACCACCGCGCAGUGUGAGAGAAACGUUUGCACAAGGCAUCGUCUCCUUGUUCCCAAACCUGAAGGAUCCCUACACUGAAAAUGGAUAUGCAAGUGUACAUUACGACUGAUAAAGGGCAUCUGCGUUUAAUUCGUCUAGUAUGGUAUCUGAGCAAAUGGGACUUGGUUAUGUUUUUUCUUUCAAGAUUAGUAACCAUGUUCAUUUUUAUAAGGAACAUUAUUACAACCCUAAUAGUGGAGAAGGGUACCUCUCGUAUUGAAUCAAAACCAUUCAGAGGAAUUUGGUUUCAUCAGAGAAACGGCCCACUCAACUAUACUCUGGAAGGCCAACUGCUGAGAGGGAGUCCAGUCCAUCCACUUUGGCUACCCUGAGUGAAGACCAGUGCCGAGAGGCCAUUUCUCUUAUGAAGCAUUCUUCUGAUGAAGAAACAUGGCUCCACCAUCCUAACUGAAUUUCCAAGCGUUCUGGAUGUGAAGGGCUUGUUUCAGAUUGAACAGGAUUUUGUGCUGCUGUUUGGAGAGGUGGCCAACUACAUUCAAGCAAAAGAUCAUCAUGCUAAGCAAGGCCCUAAGCUGAACUUCAGGAGCUGAUCUAGAUGGCAGAAUCUGCAGUUGAUGAGGGAACUGACAUGAAUGCUUACGGAUCUCUUUGAUUAGGAUGGGAAGGUGACCUUUCCUCCAUCCUUCUCCUGCUCCAUUUGAUUCCUCCUUCAUCACAAGGCCGCAAAAGACCAGGCAAGAUGUCUGCAUCUCAAGCUAAACAGUAUCUUGUGAUAUUCAGCCGCUAUGAUGAACUAAUGAUGGUGUUUGUUUUUGUCGUCUUCAGGCAGAAACCAGUAUCCAGGAGCACCUUGAUGCGAUUGACCAGAGCCGCCAACCAUAUCUUCUUGCAAUCGGGACCAGGAAGAGCAGCAUCCAUGCUUACUUCAUCAUCCUGGACAAGAGCGCCUUGCAAGUCAACGAGCGCUCUUGGUGCUUCAAUGAGCUUUUCAAGACUCACUUUGUCUUUGGUACUGCUUACAAUACAAUGCUGCGCAACAUGUACACCUUCAUACAGACAACUGUGUACAUCAUAGACAUUGGGAAGGUUAAGGAGACUCCAAGGGUUGUGAGCUCAGAGCUAGACCUCUGCACUAAUGCUGAUAUGUUUUGUUUGCCAUGCUAGUCAUGGAAGUACCAACUUGCUCGUAAGGCAUCUCAAGUUGAUACAUGGAAUGUGCCCUGGUAGAACUCUUAGAAUAAAAUGUGGUCAAGCAGAUUGUUGUCGUGUAUUUGGUUGUCGUGUAUUUUCAGACUUUAGGAAGCAUUUGAACAGGGCACAAUCCCGAGACUGUCAAAUUUUGUUAAACGCUAACUUGAAUGCUAAUACAGCUGUUGAUAAUUAGCCAAGUAAUGCUGAUUUUCCUUCAAAUUCUAGUUGUAACCAUGUACCAAUAUCUAACAAGAACACACUUGAUAUGUGUGUGUCUGCUAUUGCACAGCUGCAGGUAUAGGUCAGACUGUAAAUAGUUUUCUAUCUUCCAUGGAGGAAGCAGUUCAAGAGAUACAGGGUCAAGCUAAUGCGACUGCUCUUACAUGUAUAUCUUCAAAAGACACACAAAUUGUUCAGAAAAAUACAACAUCAUUUUCAGGAUAUUGAAAAUCCUUUCACAUUGUUGAAUUCAGUAUCAAAACAAAGUGCUUAUUUUAUACAAAAAUGGGGAACAACUCAACCAGUUGAGAGUCCUUGGUGUUAGAUUUGACGAUAGAAGAAACAACACUACUGGAACUUAUGAUCAAAUGGUCAUAACUGAUCCAUUUUCUUACUUUCCAAUUCUCCAGACAUUGCAGUUCAUUUUGAAGAACCCAAAUACAAGUGGCAUGUUUAACUCGGGGGACAAUUUAAAAAUUGAGUUUACUUUGAUUUGAAAGCUGGACUAUAUAUGAAGAGACAUCCUCUCUUUUCUAAAGAGUAAAGAGUUGAAUUUCCAAUGCAUUUAUGAUGACUGACACUGCUAAUCCAUUGGGAUCAAAAAAGUGAAUUCACAAGUUGGGAGUUACAUACUUUACUUUGAGAAAUUUACUCCAAAGUUUAAUUCAAUGUUGGUAAAUAUUGACUUGUGUGCACUCUUCCAUACCCAGGACCUUAACUUAUGUACACUCUUCCAUACCCAGGACCUUAACUUAUGUACACUCUUCCAUACCCAGGACCUUAAACGUAGGGAUUUGAUUCCAUUCUUGAGCAAAUAUUUAGCUAUUUGAAAGUGCUUGAGACUGAGGGUAUUGAAGUUCCCUUCUUAUGUGGUUGUAUACAUGGCAGUAUUGUCCAAGUAACUGGAGAUAAUCUUGGUAUACGUUGCCUGUUUGGUUUUGUGGAAUCAUUUAGUGCUCGUUAUUGUUGCCGUUUUUGCCUCACUGAGAAAGUGGAUUUUCAAACUGUGUUUUCUGAGGAUGACCCAAGAGUGACUUUACGAACGAAACACAUGCAACUCAGACUAUUGUCAAACUAUUCAGUCAAACCCAACACGGUGUGAAGCAUGCUUGCUUAUUGAACUCUCUCCAGUACUUCAAUACUACAGACAGCUUUUCUGUUGAUAUAAUGCAUGACAUUUUAGAAGUUGCACAAUUUGAGGUAAAACUUGUGUUACAGUAUAUACAAGCCAACUUUGUGACUGCUAAAGAUGUGCACGGUAGAGUUCGUUAAUUUAACUAUGGCUACACAGAGCGGAGGAAUCGUCCACCUGCACUCAAAUUGGAUGAUCGGAGCAAUGAUUUGGGUCUAAAUACUAUUCAAUCUUGGUGUCUUCUCCGUAAUUUGCCAUUGAUAUUUGGUGAUCUGGUACAGAAAUAUGAUAAAUACUGGCAGCUGCUUCUGUUACUACUACAAAUUGUAAAUAUUGUGUUUUCUCCUAUACUAACAGAGGGCAUGACUAUCUAUCUGAAGCACUUAAUUGCUGAACAUCAUAGGCUUUUCAAGUAUUUGUUUCCUGACAGAAAUCUGUUACCGAAACACCACUUCAUGAUACAUUAUCGUCGUUGUAUAAGGAACAUCGGGCCCAUUCUUCAUUCGUGGUGUAUGCGCUACAAGGCUAAACAUUAUUUCUUUAAAAAGCAACUGAAGUGUUUUAAGAAUGUCACUAUGACUUUAAUCAAGAAACACAAAUGACAUGGCAUAUAACUGGGAAACAUUGAGCCAGGAUGGACUAUCUAUAGGUCCAGGAAAGAUGUCAAGGCUCAAUGACCUGAAAGAAAGCCAUGAGAUUGCUGCCAAGUUGAAUGUCUCAGUGCGCACACAUGUUUUGUCAUUUAAAUGGGUAAAGCCCCAUGGUACAGAAUAUCAUCUUGAUUUGGUCAUAUGUGCUGAAGUAGUCAUUGAAAUGCCACUAUUUUACCAAAUUAAGGCUAUUCUGAAAGAGGAAAAUGUUUAUUUUAGGUUGGGUCAGCUCUUGAAACCUUAUGUUUUGAUGAUCAUUUGCCUGCAUUCAAAGUUUUGAAGCAAAGUCCACCAUGCAAGAUAUUUCAUGUAAAUAACAUGUACCACAAACCUUUUCAUUUGCUCAUGUCAUAUGGAGCAAGUGAUUUUUUUGACUACAUUGUCCCCUACUGUCACUUGAUAACAGUUUAAGCCAGGGCUGAGACUUAUGGUUAGGUUGUGAGAAACAUGUUUUUAAUGUAAAUGUCAGCAUUUUCCAACAAACCUAUUGAUUUGCUCAUGUCAUAUGGAGCAAGAUUAUUUUGACUACAUUCUACUGUCACUUGAUAACAGUUUAAGGCAGGGCUGGGACUUGUGGUUUGGUCAUAAUAAACAUAAUUGAA